GGACUGUAGCUCAGUGGCAGAGCACUUGCCUAGCAUGUGUGAGGCACUGGGUUCGAUCCUUAGCACCA
rnacentral:tRNA from 1 species